CUUUUAUAUUAUUAAUUUCUCGAAUUCUAGGCUUUUCAAUAAAAUUGAAUUUUACAUCAUGUCCUUUAAUAUUAGUUUCGAUUCCAAUACUAUCAAUUUUUAUUGGAUCAAGCAUAUUUAAAAAUGGAGUUCUUAGGAUUACAGAUUGAUUUAAUCCUUUAACCAUAAUAAAAGGAAAUUUAAAAAUUGAACGUGCACCUUACCUCUACCCCUACAGAUGCAUCUGAAUGCAAACAGCACCCAUUACAGAAAUCUAAUUGGAAAAAAAAGGUUUAAUGUUUACUUAAAUUGUUAAGAAUUUGUCAAAAAAUGGAGAAAGAUAAGAGAAAGAAAAAACAAAGACAAAACAAGCAACUAAAAAAGAGCUAGAGAACAAAAACCUAAAAUUUCUUUAGUUUAAAAACUACAGUAUGAUUUUGU
rnacentral:lncRNA from 1 species